CCUGAGUACGACGGAGCACGUGAAAUUCCGUCGGAAUCUGGGAGGACCAUCUCCUAAGGCUAAAUACUCUCUAGUGACCGAUAGUGAACCAGUACCGUGAGGGAAAGGUGAAAAGUACCCCGGAAGGGGAGUGAAAGAGAACUUGAAACCGUGUGCUUACAAGUAGUCAGAGCCCGUUAAUGGGUGAUGGCGUGCCUUUUGUAGAAUGAACCGGCGAGUUACGAUCUGAUGCAAGGUUAAGCAGAAAAUGUGGAGCCGUAGCGAAAGCGAGUCUGAAUAGGGCGAAUGAGUAUUUGGUCGUAGACCCGAAACCAGGUGAUCUACCCUUGGUCAGGUUGAAGUUCAGGUAACACUGAAUGGAGGACCGAACCGACUUACGUUGAAAAGUGAGCGGAUGAACUGAGGGUAGCGGAGAAAUUCCAAUCGAACUUGGAGAUAGCUGGUUCUC
rnacentral:rRNA from 1 species